rnacentral:rRNA from 1 species
CCCUUAGAUGUUCUGGGCCGCACGCGCGCUACACUGAUACGCUCAACGAGCUCCUUGGCCGAAAGGUCCGGGUAAUCUUUGAAAUCGUAUCGUGAUGGGGAUAGAACAUUGCAAUUUUUGUUCUUCAACGAGGAAUGCCUAGUAAGCGCGAGUCAUCAUCUCGCGUUGAUUAAGUCCCUGCCCUUUGUACACACCGCCCGUCGCUCCUACCGAUUUGAGUGAUCCGGUGAACCUUUUGGACCGGGCCGUUCGCGGCCUGGGAAAUCAAGUAAACCACGUCACUUAGAGGAAGGAGAAGUCGUAACA